rnacentral:rRNA from 1 species
UACGUAGGGUGCAAGCGUUGUCCGGAAUUAUUGGGCGUAAAGAGCUCGUAGGCGGUUUGUCGCGUCUGCCGUGAAAGUCCGGGGCUCAACUCCGGAUCUGCAGUGGGUACGGGCAGGCUAGAGUGCGGUAGGGGAGAAUGGAACUGCCUGGUGUAGCGGUGGAAUGCGCAGGUAUCAGGAAGAACACCGAUGGCGAAGGCAGUUCUCUGGGCCGUAACUGACGCUGAGGAGCGAAAGCGUGGGGAGCGAACAGG